rnacentral:tRNA from 1 species
AAGAUGUUAGUAAAAUAUUACACUACCUUGUCAAGGUAGAAUUGUGAGAUAAACCCUCGCACACCUUA